rnacentral:rRNA from 1 species
UACGGAGGGGACUAGCGUUGUUCGGAAUUACUGGGCGUAAAGCGCACGUAGGCGGAUUUGUAAGUCAGGGGUGAAAUCCCGGGGCUCAACCCCGGAACUGCCUUUGAUACUGCGAAUCUCGAGUCCGGAAGAGGUGAGUGGAAUUCCUAGUGUAGAGGUGAAAUUCGUAGAUAUUAGGAAGAACACCAGUGGCGAAGGCGGCUCACUGGUCCGGUACU